rnacentral:rRNA from 1 species
AACGAACGCUGGCGGCAGGCCUAACACAUGCAAGUCGAACGAGAAGCCACCUUCGGGUGGUGGACAGUGGCAGACGGGUGAGUAACGCGUGGGAACGUGCCUUUCGGUUCGGGAUAACCCAGGGAAACUUGGGCUAAUACCGGAUACGCCCUUCGGGGGAAAGAUUCAUUGCCGAAAGAUCGGCCCGCGUCGGAUUAGCUUGUUGGUGGGGUCAUGGCCUACCAAGGCGACGAUCCGUAGCUGGUCUGAGAGGAUGACCAGCCACACUGGGACUGAGACCCGGCCCAGACUCCUACGGGAGGCAGCAGUGGGGAAUAUUGGACAAUGGGCGAAAGCCUGAUCCAGCCAUGCCGCGUGGGUGAAGAAGGCCUUAGGGUUGUAAACCCCUUUCAGCGGGGACGAUAAUGACGGUACCCGCAGAAGAAGUCCUGGCUAACUCCGUGCCAGCCGCCGCCGUAAGAC